GUCCAACCUCUGCCAGCGUCUCCGGCUGAAAUAAUGCAUAUGGUUAAGGACGGGGCUUGGUACACGGGGAGUCCUGGGGAUAUGCACAGCUCGUGUAGCCUCUGGUUCCCACUUAGUAACUGCCUCUCAACUCAAGAGCACUGCAGUCUUCUGGCAGUGAAAAGAAGCAUGGACCUGAUACAGCGACGACAACCUCCGAGCAUGACUCUAAGUGACAGGGCCAUCACCAAAGGCCACACGUGAGUGUGUGAUUCCACCCGCAGGAGGCUGCAGAACAGGACACGGAGAUCCUGAACACAGCCAUCCUCACGGGCAGGACGGUGGCCAUGCCUGUCCGGGUGGUGUCGGUGGAGGAGCACGGGGCGGUGACAGACAUCUCGGAGCAGG
rnacentral:lncRNA from 1 species